AGGAUUAGAUACCCUGGUAGUCCACGCCGUAAACGAUGUCUACUUGGAGGUUGUGCCCUUGAGGCGUGGCUUCCGGAGCUAACGCGUUAAGUAGACCGCCUGGGGAGUACGGCCGCAAGGUUAAAACUCAAAUGAAUUGACGGGGGCCCGCACAAGCGGUGGAGCAUGUGGUUUAAUUCGAUGCAACGCGAAGAACCUUACCUGGUCUUGACAUCCACAGAACUUUCCAGAGAUGGACUGGUGCCUUCGGGAACUGUGAGACAGGUGCUGCAUGGCUGUCGUCAGCUCGUGUUGUGAAAUGUUGGGUUAAGUCCCGCAACGAGCGCAACCCUUAUCCUUUGUUGCCAGCGGUCCGGCCGGGAACUCAAAGGAGACUGCCAGUGAUAAACUGGAGGAAGGUGGGGAUGACGUCAAGUCAUCAUGGCCCUUACGACCAGGGCUACACACGUGCUACAAUGGCGCAUACAAAGAGAAGCGACCUCGCGAGAGCAAGCGGACCUCAUAAAGUGCGUCGUAGUCCGGAUUGGAGUCUGCAACUCGACUCCAUGAAGUCGGAAUCGCUAGUAAUCGUGGAUCAGAAUGCCACGGUGAAUACGUUCCCGGGCCUUGUACACACCGCCCGUCACACCAUGGGAGUGGGUUGCAAAAGAAGUAGGUAGCUUAACCUUCGGGAGGGCGCUUACCACUUUGUGAUUCAUGACUGGGGUGAAGUCGUAACAAGGUAACCGUAGGGGAACCUGCGGUUGGAUCACCUCCUUACCUUAAAGAAGC
rnacentral:rRNA from 1 species